rnacentral:rRNA from 1 species
AUCCGGUGAACCCCCGCCGCUCGCCGGCCCGUGCUCGGGUUCGACGACUACAACAAAUCUCGUCGUAGCUUCACCAUCCACGCAUCCUGCGACGGCCUCCUCGUCCUUUCCCUCUCCAACUGCCGCUUCUACAUCUGCAACCCGGUGACGCGACAGUGGCUCCAGCUACCGGAUCUGACCGGCGCCCUGUACCCUCACGGCCCGUCGGGUGACUACCGUGUCCUCUUCUGGAAGUAUCCAGACAACAUGAGUUGCAGCGUUGUCUACUACGUCCUCACCGUCAGCUCGUUGCAGGGACAACAGAGAUGCAUUGGGCUGCCAAUGAAGAAGGACAGGUCCUGGUGGUACCUUCAAGCCUCCGAGCACCUGCCUCUCCUGCUACAUGGCUGCCUGCACUGGCAUGCUUUCAAUGCCUUCGACAGCAAGAUCAUAAUUUUCGACACGGUGGCAGAGUCAUUCAGCUGGGUGCAAUCCCCCACAGCCACCAGCUUGGCACAUCUGCUUCAGAUGGAUGGUAUGCUCGGCAUCAGCUGUAUAGAUACCGCUACCAUGACUGCGAAAGCAUGGGUGUUGGAGGACUAUGAGGCGGAAGUACGGUCAUCAAAGUACAGGACUGAAUUGCCGGAGGAGGAGAUGAUGGAAGAUGGUAAAUGUUUUCAGUGUCUAUACGGCAAGGUUGUGUCUGAGAACGGCGAUAUGCUGCUAAUCAGUCGCAUUUGUUGGUCCCUCUCCCUGUUUCACUGUGACAACAAGGGCGAGUUGAUCCAGAAAUUCCUAUGGGAGAACGUUGAUCCAAAGCUUCUCGGGAUCUCUUUCAAAGAGAGACUAGUCAGGCAUCCAUUCUUCCAGAGGAAAGAUGGCAGCCGUGUGAGGCUCCCACGUUUUCCCCGAGGGCUGUAG